AACGAACGCUGGCGGCAGGCCUAACACAUGCAAGUCGAGCGCGCCCUUCGGGGUGAGCGGCGGACGGGUGAGUAACGCGUGGGAACGUGCCCUUUUCUACGGAAUAGCCUCGGGAAACUGAGAGUAAUACCGUAUACGCCCUUUGGGGGAAAGAUUUAUCGGAAAAGGAUCGGCCCGCGUUGGAUUAGGUAGUUGGUGGGGUAAUGGCCUACCAAGCCGACGAUCCAUAGCUGGUUUGAGAGGAUGAUCAGCCACACUGGGACUGAGACACGGCCCAGACUCCUACGGGAGGCAGCAGUGGGGAAUCUUAGACAAUGGGGGCAACCCUGAUCUAGCCAUGCCGCGUGAGUGAUGAAGGCCUUAGGGUUGUAAAGCUCUUUCAGCUGGGAAGACAAUGACGGUACCAGCAGAAGAAGCCCCGGCUAACUCCGUG
rnacentral:rRNA from 1 species